UGGAGGCAGGCCUAACACAUGCAAGUCGAGCGGUAACAGUUUCUAGCUUGCUAGAAGAUGGCGAGCGGCGGACGGGUGAGUAACGCGUAGAAAUCUACCUAGUAGUGGGGGAUAGCCCAGAGAAAUUUGGAUUAAUACCGCAUACGCCCUACGGGGGAAAGCGGGGGAUCUUCGGACCUCGUGCUAUUAGAUGAGUCUGCGUCGGAUUAGCUUGUUGGUGAGGUAAUGGCUCACCAAGGCGACGAUCCGUAGCUGGUCUGAGAGGAUGACCAGCCACACUGGAACUGAGACACGGUCCAGACUCCUACGGGAGGCAGCAGUGGGGAAUAUUGCACAAUGGGCGCAAGCCUGAUGCAGCCAUGCCGCGUGUGUGAAGAAGGCCUUAGGGUUGUAAAGCACUUUCAGCAGUGAGGAAAGGGGUGUCGUUAAUAGCGCCAUCCUGUGACGUUAACUGCAGAAGAAGGACCGGCUAACUCCGUG
rnacentral:rRNA from 1 species